UGCAAAGGGCGAGGCGGAUGUAACUGAAAGGCAGAAUUGUGUGAGGAAGAAUAAGAGAGAGAAAUAGGCAGUAUUCGAUAAAGUGUGAGAAAAGAAGGAAACAGAGAAUCAAAGUGAGACUAAAAAAGAGUGAUUUUAUAAGGAAAGAUAGUGAAAUAAAGGAAAAGUAAAGAAGGAUGGAGAGAAGCUAGAAAGUGUGAAAACAGGGGGUGGCCCUAAAACGUUAGGAAGACACACAUUAGUGACAGAAGGGGAGGAACCUGAGCUCAGUGGCUAUUAGGAGAGAACGUGUGUGUGUGUGUGUGUGUGUAUGUGUGUGUGUGUGUGUGUAAAAGAAAGAGAAGUGAAGCUUUCAGUGCCCACCCACACCUCCUUGUGGGUGUAAAGUGUCUGUGUUGUCGCUACUGCUGCUUGUCUGAGAAAGGAGAAAGCAGCUGUUAAAUUUGACUAAGCAGCUGUAAUUAGAGUCUCUUGAAGCUGUCUCUCCUCCCCUCCCCUCCCCCGCUCACUACUUGGCAGAAUCCCCGAACCAAGCGGGGCUUCAGAGCCGGAUCCCUCUGCCUCCAAGUGCCCGAUCAGCGUGAACUGGGGAAUAAACUGAUUGGAGCUGGGAAGACUGCAUGCUUCGGAAGGACGCGGGCGCGUCCGAGGAUCCCGUCUCUACCCAGCUGUGCCUAGACAAUAGAAGCUGUGAAGAGAUACAGUUACUGUGCUUGGCCACUCAACAGGAACAUUGCUGACGGAUCCCUGAAAUUGCUUUUAUUCAGUGCUGCUGUCAAUUGAGACAAGGCAAGUUAUUGGCAUUUUUGAGAUAUUUACAUUUGAGAGGAGCACUUGAAUAAUACAGCUGAGACUGAGAGACAGGGAUCAAUACCAGUGUUAUUUCUGCCAUAUGGAUUUAACUCUACAUAAACAGCAACUGGAAUAUUUGUAUAACCAAGGUAAUGCCUUUGCUUGUCCCCUCUGGUGGUGUGACCUCUAGAAAUCUCAGAAAGUUAAUCACUCCACCUAAGUCUAAGACUUAUCUUAGCUAGAUGCAUAUUUCCUACUUUAUUUUGGUUACUUAGAAAUUACUUGAUAAUGCCAACUUUAUUUAUCCCUCAAACUGGAAAGAUACAAUUUUUAGGGAGAAAUACUGAG
rnacentral:lncRNA from 1 species